rnacentral:rRNA from 1 species
UACGUAGGCAGCGAGCGUUGUUCGGAAUUACUGGGCGUAAAGAGUGUGUAGGCGGUGCUCUAAGUUCGGUGUGAAAUCUCCUGGCUCAACUGGGAGGGUGCGCCGGAAACUGGAGUGCUUGAGCGUGGGGAGAGGAAAGCGGAAUUCCUGGUGUAGCGGUGAAAUGCGUAGAUAUCAGGAGGAACACCUGUGGUGUAGACGGCUUUCUGGACCAUAGCUGACGCUGAGACACGAAAGCGUGGGGAUCAAACAGG